GAUAUGUUUGUUAUUGAGGUUAAAUAGGCAAAUGGAUAUGAAGUGGCUUUCGUCCAUCUGUUACGUGCUAAAAAUGAUGUCAGGAUUCUGGAGUCUUUGCCUUGUCUUCAUGAUAAAGUUCUUGAUGCUGCUGCAGAUGCUGGGUUUGCCGUCUCUUCGAAUCAGAAGAAAAAACAGGGCAAUGCACCAGGGAUUCUUGGUGGUAUUGUCACAGGUUUUAAGGCGGGGAAAGGUAGCCAUACUGUGGAUAUUACUGUGUCUCCUAAGUCCAAUUUUACUCAUUUAGAGGGAAUAUCUUUGAAGCCCCCAUUCCUAGAUUCAUCUCCUACUGCAACAAAUGAUGAGAAAGUAAUAUUGGUCACAUUGUAAUGGAUGAAACAGGAUCUGUGGCAGCCACUUCAUGUCAUAAAGUAGCUUAUAUGAAGAAAGAUAAGGGAAUCAAUAGGGAAAGAUUGUUAGGUGAACCUGAUGAUAAAAAGGCCAGAGCGAGGACAUAGGAAGAAAGGUAAAUUUGACUUUCUUUUGUCUUUGUCUCCAUGCAUACUUGGACUUCACAGAUCAAAAAAAAUUUUGUAGUACUGCAUUUAAGGGGACCAAU